UGUGUGUGUGUGUGUGUGUGUGUGUGUGUGUGUGUGUGUACACACACACACAGACACACACACAACUUUCUAUG